rnacentral:rRNA from 1 species
GAUGAACGCUGGCGGCGUGCCUAAUACAUGCAAGUCGAGCGAACGGACGAGAAGCUUGCUUCUCUGAUGUUAGCGGCGGACGGGUGAGUAACACGUGGAUAACCUACCUAUAAGACUGGGAUAAUUUCGGGAAACCGGCGCUAAUACCGGAUAAUAUUUUGAACCGCAUGGUUCAAAUGUGAAAGACGGUUUUGCUGUCACUUAUAGAUGGAUCCACGCUGCAUUAGCUAGUUGGUAAGGUAACGGCUUACCAAGGCAACGAUGCAUAGCCGACAUCAGAGACAGAAGGCCCUUCUAGUGACGGGCACACCCACCAGACAGCUACGUCAGGCAGCAGUAGGCAAUCUUGGGCAGUGGGCGGAAGCGUGACUGAGCAACCCGGCGUAAGUUAAGGAGAAGUGAGGCACGUAAAGUUGUAUUAGAAGCAGAAAACGUAUUUAGUAAAAACCGAGAACAACUUGACGGUAGCUAGGAAGGAAGCGACGGCUAACGACGUG